UACGGGGGGGCAAGCGUUGUUCGGAAUUACUGGGCGUUAAAGGGCUCGUAGGCGGCCAACUAAGUCAGACGUGAAAUCCCUCGGCUUAACCGGGGAACUGCGUCUGAUACUGGAUGGCUUGAGUUUGGGAGAGGGAUGCGGAAUUCCAGGUGGUAGCGGUGAAAUGCGUAGAUAUCUGGAGGAACACCGGUGGCGAAGGCGGCGAUCCUGGACCAACACUGACGCUGAGUGAGCGAAAGC
rnacentral:rRNA from 1 species